GGCCUUCCAAUUUGCCUCGCCCCUCCCUAUAUUCGGAGGGUCAGCUCGACUGACUAUGGCGAUAAACUGCCGAUGUAAUAAGCCAUUCGGACCCGGGGGCGGUACCCGGCGCCUCCACCAAAAAUCGCCGCUUCCUUUUUAGGGCGGUUUUUGAUGGGGGCGAAAUAGGAUCGACGAGGGUGUAAAGAUCGGACUUUUGCCCGGCAUUGUACCACCGUUAUCGGGCUAACCUAGUAGUUGCAAACGACAACUAUGCGGAAGCACGUCUCGCCGCUUAAUGCGGUGCGAUAGCUUCAAUUCAAGUCCUAGGGGUUCGCACUUCUAGGCGGGGUUCGGAGGUACCUGGCAACAGAAACCUCCACU
rnacentral:tmRNA from 1 species